GGAGAGAUGGCAGAGUGGUCGAAUGCGCCGGACUCGAAAUCCGGUAUACGGGUAUCCCCCGUAUCGAGGGUUCGAAUCCCUCUCUCUCCGCCA
rnacentral:tRNA from 1 species